rnacentral:rRNA from 1 species
UGCGUAGGCGGAAUAUUAAGUCAGUGGUGAAAUCCUGCAGCUCAACUGUAGAAUUGCCAUUGAUACUGUUAUUCUUGAGUAUAGUUGAGGUGGGCGGAAUGUAUCAUGUAGCGGUGAAAUGCUUAGAUAUGAUACAGAACACCGAUUGCGUAGGCAGCUCACUAAACUAUUACUGACGCUGAGGCACGAAAGCGUGGGGAGCGAACAGGAUUAGAUACCCUGGUAGUCC